UGCGGGGUGGAGCAGUCUGGUAGCUCGUCAGGCUCAUAACCUGAAGGUCCUCGGUUCAAAUCCGAGCCCCGCUACCA
rnacentral:tRNA from 1 species